GACAGAGGGUGCAAACGUUGUUCGGAAUUACUGGGCGUAAAGCGCGUGUAGGCGGCCAUCUAAGUCGGGUGUGAAAUCCCACGGCUCAACCGUGGAAGUGCACUCGAAACUGGAUGGCUAGAGUCUUGGAGAGGAAGGUGGAAUGCUUGGUGUAGAGGUGAAAUUCGUAGAUAUCAAGCGGAACACCGGUGGCGAAGGCGGCCUUCUGGACAGUGACUGACGCUGAGACGCGAAGGCGUGGGGAGCAAACAGG
rnacentral:rRNA from 1 species